UACGAAGGGGACUAGCGUUGUUCGGAAUUACUGGGCGUAAAGCGCACGUAGGCGGAUUUGUUAGUCAGGGGUGAAAUCCCGGGGCUCAACCUCGGAACUGCCUUUGAUACUGCAAGUCUUGAGUCCGGAAGAGGUGAGUGGAAUUCCUAGUGUAGAGGUGAAAUUCGUAGAUAUUAGGAAGAACACCAGUGGCGAAGGCGGCUCACUGGUCCGGUACUGACGCUGAGGUGCGAAAGCGUGGGGAGCAAACAGGAUUAGAAACCCGAGUAGUCC
rnacentral:rRNA from 1 species